GGAUCGUUAGCUCAGUUGGUAGAGCAGCUGACUCUUAAUCAGCGGGUCGUAGGUUCGAGCCCUACACGAUCCA
rnacentral:tRNA from 1 species